UACGGAGGGUGCAAGCGUUAAUCGGAUUUACUGGGCGUAAAGCGUGCGUAGGUGGCCAAUUAAGUCAAAUGUGAAAUCCCCGAGCUUAACUUGGGAAUUGCAUUCGAUACUGGUUGGCUAGAGUAUGGGAGAGGAUGGUAGAAUUCCAGGUGUAGCGGUGAAAUGCGUAGAGAUCUGGAGGAAUACCGAUGGCGAAGGCAGCCAUCUGGCCUAAUACUGACACUGAGGUACGAAAGCAUGGGGAGCAAACAGG
rnacentral:rRNA from 1 species